rnacentral:rRNA from 1 species
UACGUAGGGUGCGAGCGUUAAUCGGAAUUACUGGGCGUAAAGCGUGCGCAGGCGGUUUUGUAAGCCAGAUGUGAAAUCCCCGGGCUCAACCUGGGAAUGGCAUUUGGGACUGCAAGGCUGGAGUGUGGCAGAGGAGACUGGAAUUCCUGGUGUAGCAGUGAAAUGCGUAGAGAUGUGGAGGAAUACCGAUGGCGAAGGCAGCCCCCUGGGAUAACACUGACGCUCAUGCACGAAAGCGUGGGGAGCAAACAGG